rnacentral:rRNA from 1 species
CCUACGGGUGGCAGCAGUGAGGAAUAUUUGUCAAUGGGGGGAACCCUGACCGAGCAACGCCGCGUGAGCGAAGAAGUUAUUCGUAAUGUAAAGUUCUUUUAACAGGGAAGAAAGAGAAAUUUGACGGUACCUGAAGAGUAAGCUCCGCCUAACUACGUGCCAGCAGCAGCGGUAAUACGUAGGGAGCGAGCGUUAUCCGGAAUUAUUGGGCGUAAAGGGUGCGUAGAUGGCAUAGUAAGUCUUUUGUAAAAAGGCUGGGCUCAACCCAGUAGGGCAAAAGAUACUGCAAAGCUAGAGUAUGAGAGAGGCAAGUGGAACUACAGGUGUAGCGGUAAAAUGCGUAAAUAUAUGUAAGAACACCAGUGGCGAAGGCGGCUUGCUGGGUCGAUACUGACAUUGAGGCACGAAAGCGUGGGGAGCAAACAGGAUUAGAUACCCGUGUAGUC